rnacentral:rRNA from 1 species
UACGAAGGGUGCAAGCGUUAAUCGGAAUUACUGGGCGUAAAGCGUGCGUAGACGGCACACUCAGUCAGCUGUGAAACCCCCGGGCUCAACCUGGGAACUGCAGCUGAUACUGGUGAGCUUGGAGUUUGAGAGAGGGUGGUGGAAUUCCUGGUGUAGCGGUGAAAUGCGUAGAGAUCAGGAGGAACACUAGUGGCGAAGGCGGCCACCUGGCUUAAAACUGACGUUGAGGCACGAAAGCGUGGGGAGCAAACAGG